CCAGGCCUCUAGUAUUUUAUAUAAUUUUUAAUUAAUGGAAUCCUCUUUUUUCAGUGUUGGAAUAUUAGGGAGGCCAUUAACUGAUAGGUACUUCAGUUGUCUCAUUUGUGAGGAUUUGAUAAAUUGGGAGAUAUUUAUAACUCUGGAAUUAUUUAAUUCUAGGUUUUACUUAUAUUCAAGUUUUCUUUGAUAUGGACUAUUACCAUCUGCUGGCAGUAGUGAAAAUUGCAAUUAAUUAUUUUAAGCUGAAGUACAUCUUUUCAAUUGUGAGCUCAGAAGAUAAAAUAACAGUCCACUUUUUAAACCGUGACGGUGAAAUACUAACAACCAAAGGAAAAAUUGGUGACUCUCUGCUAGAUGUUGUGAUUGAAAAUAAUCUAGAUAUUGAUGGUUUUGGUGAGUAUGGAAGAGUCCUUAAAGUUUAUAAGUGAAACUAUUGAAUAGUUUUCAAUACUGUUCUUUUGAAAAAUUUUAACUUAUACCAUACAGAGUAAAAUAUUAAAAUUCA